ACUCCUACGGGAGGCAGCAGUGGGAAUCUUAGACAAUGGGGAAGCCAUCGAUCUAGCCAUGCCGCGUGAGCGAUGAAGGCCUUAGGGUUGUAAAGCUUCUUUCGCUAGGGGAAGAUUAAUGACGGUGACCCAGUAAAGAAGUCCCGGCUAACUCCGUGCCAGCAGCCGCGGUAAUACGGAGGGGACUAGCGUUGUUCGGAAUUACUGGGCGUAAAGCGCGCGUAGCGGAUCAGAAAGUUGGGGUGAAAUCCCGGGGCUCAACCCCGGAACUGCCUCCAAAACGUCCUCGGUCUUGAGUUCGAGAGAGGUGGA
rnacentral:rRNA from 1 species